ACUCCUACGGGAGGCAGCAGUAGGGAAUCUUCCACAAUGGGCGCAAGCCUGAUGGAGCAACACCGCGUGAGUGAAGAAGGGUUUCGGCUCGUAAAGCUCUGUUGUUAAAGAAGAACACGUAUGAGAGUAACUGUUCAUACGUUGACGGUAUUUAACCAGAAAGUCACGGCUAACUACGUGCCAGCAGCCGCGGUAAUACGUAGGUGGCAAGCGUUAUCCGGAUUUAUUGGGCGUAAAGAGAGUGCAGGCGGUUUUCUAAGUCUGAUGUGAAAGCCUUCGGCUUAACCGGAGAAGUGCAUCGGAAACUGGAUAACUUGAGUGCAGAAAAGGGUAGUGGAACUCCAUGUGUAGCGGUGGAAUGCGUAGAUAUAUGGAAGAACACCAGUGGCGAAGGCGGCUACCUGGUCUGCAACUGACGCUGAGACUCGAAAGCAUGGGUAGCGAACAGGAUUAGAUACCCUGGUAGGAUAGCG
rnacentral:rRNA from 1 species